rnacentral:rRNA from 1 species
CCUAAGGCCUACCGGUAGUAAUAUAAAAUAAAACCCAUAUAACAUGGCGGUCAUAAACAAUUAGAGGAACUCGCUUCUUAAUCGACAACACCCGAUAAAUUUAACUUAUUUAAACCCUUAAGCCUAUAUACCGCCGUCUCAGACCCUAUCAUCCAAUAAGGCUCAUUCCCGUACAAACCCCUAACCACAAAAUCAGGUCAAGGUGUAGCUAAUAAAUAAGCGCAAGUAAGUUACAUUAAAUCAAACUUAAGGAUCUUAGCUAAAAAUAGCAACUGAAAGAGAAUCUAAAAACACACACGGAAUUAAAAUUUCAACUUGAAAUAUCAACAAUGACGC